rnacentral:rRNA from 1 species
UCCUGGCUCAGAUUGAACGCUGGCGGCAGGCCUAACACAUGCAAGUCGAGCGGCAGCACGGGUACUUGUACCUGGUGGCGAGCGGCGGACGGGUGAGUAAUGCCUAGGAAUCUGCCUGGUAGUGGGGGAUAACGCUCGGAAACGGACGCUAAUACCGCAUACGUCCUACGGGAGAAAGCAGGGGACCUUCGGGCCUUGCGCUAUCAGAUGAGCCUAGGUCGGAUUAGCUAGUUGGUGAGGUAAUGGCUCACCAAGGCGACGAUCCGUAACUGGUCUGAGAGGAUGAUCAGUCACACUGGAACUGAGACACGGUCCAGACUCCUACGGGAGGCAGCAGUGGGGAAUAUUGGACAAUGGGCGAAAGCCUGAUCCAGCCAUGCCGCGUGUGUGAAGAAGGUCUUCGGAUUGUAAAGCACUUUAAGUUGGGAGGAAGGGCAUUUACCUAAUACGUAAGUGUUUUGACGUUACCGACAGAAUAAGCACCGGCUAACUCUGUGCCAGCAGCCGCGGUAAUACAGAGGGUGCAAGCGUUAAUCGGAAUUACUGGGCGUAAAGCGCGCGUAGGUGGUUUGUUAAGUUGGAUGUGAAAUCCCCGGGCUCAACCUGGGAACUGCAUUCAAAACUGACAAGCUAGAGUAUGGUAGAGGGUGGUGGAAUUUCCUGUGUAGCGGUGAAAUGCGUAGAUAUAGGAAGGAACACCAGUGGCGAAGGCGACCACCUGGACUGAUACUGACACUGAGGUGCGAAAGCGUGGGGAGCAAACAGGAUUAGAUACCCU